rnacentral:lncRNA from 1 species
UUUUGGUUCUUCAAGUUCUUUUCAAGGAAUAUUCAUUAAAAGCUAACUGUCAAAUGUUUAAAACAGAUCUAUCAAAUACAUGAAUAUCAGUCCACAAGGUCCAAAUCAGUCACCAAUUUACAUCUAACAUAUGACUCGUCCAAAAACAGAAUUCACUACACACAUGUAUAACUGGAGCUCAGAACUCAGAACUAGAAAUUCAGUUGAGUAAAAUUAGACUCUCCCUAUAAGCAUCGACAAACUGAGAGUGAUAACUCAAGCUGAUUCCGGUAUCCUUAGCUCUCCGCAACACAGGAUCACAUAAAACCAAAAUUGGGUCACGUUGCAUAUUUCGAACAUGCCUAACCAAAUGAAAUUUGUUAUCUGUUCUAAUCCCCAAUGGCCAUGCUACAGAUUCACUUCUUGGAAGAAUAAUCGUGCGGUUCAUUGUCCAAGUAUCUGCUUCCACAACCCAUAUGUCACAGUACCAAACAUUGUCAUCUUUUCUUUGAUGGAACAAAGAAAGCGAUUCUUCAAACACUUGAACAGUAGGUACGGACGCCACUCCGAACAAUAUAUCUGGAAGCAUAAUCUUUUGAAAAACCUCACUGUCCAGAUCAAAGGAAACAAUGGAAGUGCAAUGUUGAGAAGGCUCCACUGUAAUCCAAUACAAAAAUCCAUUGAAGAAUAAACACUUGGGUUGAGGAAAACGGGCUUGUUGUGAAACAGGCGGAGUUGCAGUAAUUCUUCUCCAAGUAUCCAAUCUAAGGCUGUAAACCUCAACUGCAAAGAAAUCUUUCUUGCGUGGAAACCUCACAACCCUCACAACCUUAUAGUCGUCCCCCCUCUCAUGAAACCCAAACCCAAGAGUAACAAAAUGGGCAGUUUGCAGGAUGUGGCAAUCGGGAAGUUUUUUGAAUACUCUGAUUGAUGGAUUCAACAGAUAUAUAGGACUUGCCAAAUUCACACGCCAAGUAGCGGAGAUGCAAAGCACCCCAUUGCAAGAACCAUAAACUGCAUAUGAGACAUGUUUGGGCCUAGGAAGCUCUAGAUCAAAACGCUUUGUAAAUUCUUCAGCAUCAUAGACUGAGAAGCCACUUACAUCAUACCCAGUGUGGAUAACUAGAUGAUCACAUGCAUUUUUCAAGACAUUUCUUUUGAGAUGGGCGUUCAUGAAAUCAGGGUUGCUAAUUAAACUCUUCCAAGAUUUGCAAACACAUCUGCACCGCAAAAGUGAUUUCAUACUCAAUCUUGUAAAGAUUUCAAACAAUAUCUCUUGGGGAAAGUCAUCUAUCUUGCUCACUUGUGCGUCUCUUCUUCUCUUUCUUUGAUACUCGAGGUUAAACAUGCUGAUGCCAAACAGAAAUCUCUACAGAACUCAACUGAUUUUAACAAGAAAAUACAGAGCAUUCCAAAAUGGCAAAUCCAGAUGCCAUAACCAGAAACCCACCUCAACAGAAGCUCGUGAAACACAAUCCAACUCUUGCACACUUUAACUAAGGAAUAUAUUCAGAUAUCCAAGAAGUAAAUGGCAAAUCCAGACGCCAUAACCAGAAACCCACCUCAACAAAAGCUCAUGAAACCCAAUACAAUUCUUGCACCACUUCAACUAAGGAAUAUAAUCAAUCAUAAAACCAAGAAGUAAAGCAUACCUCAUCUUGUUACUCAAUUCAAACAAAUGCGGGAAUUCAAGACACCCUCAAUCGUCCAUGCCACAAAGAAAAGAACCAUAAAUCUAUUCCCUCUCCUCUCUCAUGGCCGCUUGGCUUCGUUCACAACCGACCUUAGUUUGCCUCUUGAAUUUUCGGGUCUCGUUUCUUUGGUUUUUGCUGGUAUGAUUCUUAAGCGUCUAGAUAUUAAUUUGAGCUUUUUGUUUUUCUUUCUUGGAGUGGAGGUUGGCUUAUUAGUACCCGGGUUUCAUUUCAUGCACUUCCCUUUCCAAAGCUUUAAAACGGGGCCGUUUUGCAGCAAAGACUGACGUCUUCUAUUCUAACAGGAAAAACAAUGGAUAAGGCUACGAGUGUCAGACCAAAAAAAAGAAAAAAGGCUACGAG